GGUGAGAUUAUGUAAAGAAGGAUUAGGGUAGUGAAGAAAAAUGGUUAAAAUAUAGAGUGGGUUAUAAGAGAGUGUUAUAUAGUGAUGAGAAUGAAAAUGAUAAUAUUUGUUAUUUCUCUAUAAAAUGUUGAAGAGUGUGUAUGGAUUGAUAUGGAGGAAGAUUAAACGGAAGGAAGAGCAGCAACUACGGGGCUAUAUCAGCAUUCAUCAC
rnacentral:lncRNA from 1 species